UGUUGAGCAGAGUUGGACUGCUGAUUAGUUUCUCCUAGUUCGGCAGAAGAAGUUGAAAAAUUGCCCUAUGCCCUGUUUAAAUAACAUUUAACUUGAAAUUGUGGUUGCCCAUGCCCCUUGUUAUAUGUUUGCUUGGCUUAUGAGGAUGGAUGUUUGGCCUCUAUAUUCCAAUGUUUGUUCCACUUGAUUAUGUUGCCUCUGUGUUUGCAGUUUUACGUUUAGAAAAGAGUAGGAUGAAGUUUUCUUUUGUCUGGGUGGUUAAGAAAGCGGUAAAUCGCAUGCUAUAAUUAUUAACCUGGGUCGCUUCUAA
rnacentral:misc_RNA from 1 species